rnacentral:rRNA from 1 species
GACGAACGCUGGCGGCGUGCCUAAUACAUGCAAGUCGAACGCAGUGGGGACGGGUGAUUAACACGUGGGUAACCUCCCAUCAGAGGGGAUAACACUUGGAAACAGGUGCUAAACCGAUACUGAUGGAUGGACCCGCGGUGCAUUAGCUAGUGGGUGGGGUAACGGCUCACCAAGGCCACGAUGCAUAGCCGGUCUGGAAGGUGGAUCGGCCACACUGGCACGUAGGCACGGCCCAGAAUCCGACGGGAGGCAGCAGUAGGGAAUCUUCGGCAAUGGACGAAAGUCUGACCGAGCAACGCCGCGUGAGUGAAGAAGGUUUUCGGAUCGUAAAACUCUGUUGUUAGAGAAGCGGUAUCUAACCAGAAAGCCACGGCUAACUACGUGCCAGCAGCCGCGGUAAUAC